CCUGGCUCAGGACGAACGCUGGCGGCGUGCUUAACACAUGCAAGUCGAACGGUGAACUCCGCUUGCGGGGGAUCAGUGGCGAACGGGUGAGUAACACGUGGGCAACCUGCCCUCAGCUCUGGGAUAACUGGAAGAAAUUGGGGCUAAUACCGGAUAUGACUGCUGACCGCAUGGUCUGGUGGUGGAAAGAUUUAUCGGCUGGGGAUGGGCCCGCGGCCUAUCAGCUUGUUGGUGGGGUAGUGGCCUACCAAGGCGACGACGGGUAGCCGGCCUGAGAGGGUGACCGGCCACACUGGGACUGAGACACGGCCCAGACUCCUACGGGAGGCAGCAGUGGGGAAUAUUGCGCAAUGGGCGGAAGCCUGACGGAGCGACGCCGCGUGGGGGAUGACGGCCUUCGGGUUGUAAACCUCUUUCAGCAGGGACGAAGCGAGAGUGACGGUACCUGCAGAAGAAG
rnacentral:rRNA from 1 species